UACGUAGGGGGCUAGCGUUGUCCGGAAUCAUUGGGCGUAAAGAGCGCGUAGGCGGCCCGAUAAGUCCGCUGUGAAAGUCCGGGGCUCAACCCUGGAAUGCCAGUGGAAACUGUCGGGCUAGAGUACGGAAGAGGCGAGUGGAAUUCCUGGUGUAGCGGUGGAAUGCGCAGAUAUCAGGAGGAACACCAAUAGCGAAGGCAGCUCGCUGGGACGUUACUGACGCUGAGGCGCGAAAGCGUGGGGAGCAAACAGG
rnacentral:rRNA from 1 species